rnacentral:rRNA from 1 species
GAUGAACGCUGGCGGCGUGCCUAAUACAUGCAAGUCGAGCGAACAGACGAGGAGCUUGCUCCUCUGACGUUAGCGGCGGACGGGUGAGUAACACGUGGAUAACCUACCUAUAAGACUGGGAUAACUUCGGGAAACCGGAGCUAAUACCGGAUAAUAUAUUGAACCGCAUGGUUCAAUAGUGAAAGACGGUUUUGCUGUCUCUUAUAGAUGGAUCCGCGCCGCAUUAGCUAGUUGGUAAGGUAACGGCUUACCAAGGCAACGAUGCGUAGCCGACCUGAGAGAGUGAUCGGCCACACUGGAACUGAGACACGGUCCAGACUCCUACGGGAGGCAGCAGUAGGGAAUCGUCCGCAAUGGGCGGAAGCCUUACGGAGCAACGCCGCGUGAGUGAUGAAGGUCUUCGGAUCGUAAAACUCUGUUAUUAGGGAAGAACAAAUGUGUAAGUAACUAUGCACGUCUUGACGGUACCUAAUCAGAAAGCCACGGCUAACUACGUG